AUAGUGUUUUAAAUGUGUGUAUUCAUUAUUUUAGCAUUUUGGUGCAUUUUCUUAAAAAAUUAAAAAUUCUGCCUAAAUACCACAGUAUAGCUCCACCUUCAGCUUAAAACAUAGAAUUUGACUCAUUUUGAAUAAAUUUUAGCCAAUGGCUAAAGAGUAAGAUACUACGUAAUCCAGUAGAGUACUACGUAGCAGCUCUGUGUCAACGUUAUAAAAGCAUCGGGAGUCUCGGCCACGCCUUGUGGCGAGUUGGGAGUUGGAUUUGCAUGAGAGUGUAGGAGGCUAGCCGUAGUUCAGCAUUAGCAUAUAGCAUUAGCAUAUCCUAGUCUUUAGCAUAGCUUUUAGUGUUAUACAUACUUAUUUAGUGUUAGCUUGGCUGUUGGAUAUUGUAGUUUAGUUACUGUUUGGCUGUUAGUGUAAUUAGGAAAGUAGUUCGGGUUUAGUGCUCCAUAUCGUGUUAGCAUGUUGAGAUGGUGUAGUGUAGUAUGGUUGCGGAGCUCUGUCGGGUUGCACUCCUUUCCGCUGGACUUAGAAAUUAGGCGCCAGUGGUUGCGUGUCUGGAAAAGAUUCAGCUCCCGCCUGGUGCUGUAGUUUGCAACCAGCAUUUUACCCGCGAUUCUGCACGUCUCCGUUCCAAGAGGGAGGCUGUGCCCACCGUGGCUCUUCCGCGAUUUAGAUGCAGCCCACCGACUCUGCUCCCCCACCAUGACGGGCUACAGUCUGAGGCUAAAUCUACCCAAGACACUGGCUGUCAGACUGAUUUAGUAAUCUGCAAGAAUGCACUUGUCCAGGCUGACGUGGUGUUACCCGUAGCAAAGAGCUCACAGCCUCAGUGUCUUGUGACACAGGGACCAUGACAGAAAUUCAUCUUCCAGAAGGUCCCAGAGCAUCCACACCUCCUGAAAAGACCACGGUGUGAGGUGUCUGCUGUUGAUUCCAGCUUCCACCUCAGUGACAGUGCAAGCUCAGUGAACUGUUCAAGGAGGCUACUGAUUCUGGCCCUGUGACACUUGGUGGUCACCACCAGGUGGUGACGUGUGAGCUGAUUCACCUGGACACUCAGCAAAAUAUGGACUCUACACCAUGAGGCAGGCACACGUUAAUACUCAAAAAGAGCACAUAAGGUAAGCAACACCACAUAUUAUUUUUAUUACUGUACACUGUCCUGGAUUUGUUUUCUUUCUGCAUGAUUUGUUUUCUUUCUGCAUCUCAUCAUUAGCCUGGCUGAUCACCUGAUAACUCCUGUCAUCUGGUUAUGACAGCAUGAGGAUGGCCUCACACACCUGUAACCUACCAGCUCAUCUGGCAGAAUAGAGAGAGAAGAGACAACACCACAUCUCCUGUUCCUGGAAAGCCUUCAGCCAUCCUUUGAUGACUGAGAACCUCCAUCAGCUCUGUCUCCUGUCUGCCUACAAUUAUUAUAAUAAAUAUUGUGUUUGACAAGUUU